GGCCCAUACGGCCUUGAUUGGUCCAAUUCAUUUCCCUAUUUAACGGCUGCCUCAUUGGGUGUUUGGGGGCUGGAGGUGGUGCUGGCUUGAUGGGAGGGCAGUACGAGUGACAUAGUAACCACAUCACCUGAGUUGGUUUGCUAAAGAACUGGCCUCGGCCCGGGAUCUAUGAGUCUGCAGAAUUCUAAAACCACUGACGAAGAACCACAAGAAGGCAGCAUUAUCACACGUAUGAGGAAGCCGGAGGCAGGCUCUCAGAUAAUAGCGACCAGAGCAUGUACUACGUCAUAUAGGCCACGCCUACUCUGUGCAUAGGAGCGGGCGUGCGCCCCAGAGAGG
ensembl:lncRNA